UACGAAGGGGGCUAGCGUUGUUCGGAAUUAUUGGGCGUAAAGGGCGCGUAGGCGGCCUUGCAAGUCAAAGGUGAAAUCCCUCGGCUCAACUGAGGAACUGCCUUUGAAACUGCAUGGCUUGAGGCCGGGAGGGGGUAGCGGAAUUCCCAGUGUAGCGGUGAAAUGCGUAGAUAUUGGGAGGAACACCAGUGGCGAAGGCGGCUACCUGGACCGGUUCUGACGCUGAUGCGCGAAAGCGUGGGGAGCAAACAGG
rnacentral:rRNA from 1 species